GACUAGGCGUCGACCGGCGCACGGUGAGUAACGCGUAUCCAACCUGCCCAUCACUUGGGGAUAACCUGCGAAAGUAAGACUAAUACCCAAUGACGUCUCUAGAAGACAUCUGAAAGAGAUUAAAGAUUUAUCGGUGAUGGAUGGGGAUGCGUCUGAUUAGCUUGUUGGCGGGGUAACGGCCCACCAAGGCGACGAUCAGUAGGGGUUCUGAGAGGAAGGUCCCCCACAUUGGAACUGAGACACGGUCCAAACUCCUACGGGAGGCAGCAGUGAGGAAUAUUGGUCAAUGGACGAGAGUCUGAACCAGCCAAGUAGCGUGCAGGAAGACGGCCCUAUGGGUUGUAAACUGCUUUUAUAAGGGAAUAAAGUGAGUCUCGUGAGACUUUUUGCAUGUACCUUAUGAAUAAGGACCGGCUAAUUCCGUG
rnacentral:rRNA from 1 species